CAGCAAGAAGCCAGGCAGAUCUAGGGUAAGAAGACUGAAGUGAUUUCAUCAAGGCAAUAAAUCUAUCAGAUGUAUCUAAGACGAUGGACUUAAAAGCAAGUCUUGGAAAACCAAUCCAUUUUUAUUUCUACUUUCUUGAGCAGAACUGGAUUUCAUCUCCACAUAAAACUGAAGGAUGGAUCUUAAUGUUCUGAGGUAGGUGGAAAGCAUAACAAGAAUCAUAACAGCACUUUGCCAUGUUUCCUGGAAAUACCACACACGAAUGAUGCUUAUGAAAGAAAUACCAACUUAAUUCUCUAGAUUCUACACCAAAAUUUAAGAAGAGCUUUAAAAUAUAUCCUGGAAUCACUAUGUUUGAUUUUUUUUUGUUCC
rnacentral:lncRNA from 1 species